CCCGGCCUGGGCGGCCGCCGGCCGGGCCCGUGGCGCUUCCUCUCCCCGGGACGCGGCGGCGGCACCUGCGGCGAGGGACGGCGGCGCUGCGGCGGCUCGGGCCGGGCCGAGGGGCCGCUCACCCGGCGCGGCGGCCCACGACGGGCUGGGGGCUGCGGAGCCGGGCCGGGGCCCGCACUCGGCUCCCGCCAGCCCCGCACUUCCGCGCUCCCGGCCCGCCCCGCGCCCGCCGCCACCGGGGGCGGCGCCGCCACCGCCGGGGCUGCGGCCACCCCGCAAGGACCGGCCCCGCACGGACCGGAGCGGACCGGGGCCGCGUGUCUGGCCCGCUCCCACGGGGACGCUGCAGAACGCGCCCUUCGCCAGGAUGCCAGGGCUGCCCGCACCUCCACGGCCACGAGUGACCUCUGCCCCUCGCCAGGGGGGUCCUCACGCCCCCUCCCACACUCCUUACAGAUGGGGAAGAAGGUGGUGAGAAAAAGCCAAACCUAACACAACUGGUGGAUCGAGGAAGUAUUUUCUCCCUCAAUGUCGUUUCCUUUGUGCAGAAUGAGAUAGUUAAACUGCAAAGGCAGGAAAACCUGCUACACCCUGUCCAUUCAGUCUGACCCAGAGCAAUUCCUGCUCCAACAAGGACCGGUCCCCUCUUUCCAAGGGUACAGGAAAGGAGAUGCAUAGCAUAGGACCUUCCUUUGUGCUCAUCUCCCCAGCUGUCUGAGAUCACAGAGACCCUCCUUUUUCCUAUUUUCUCCAGGGUCCAGCUAGGCAUUUGGAAAUAUACCAUUGCAGGUUGAAAACCUAUAAAGAACUUUAAAUUAAGGUUCUGUCUGAAUAUGUGCCAGCAACUCUGUGGCACAUGUAUGCUGCAGUUAUUAUCUAGGCAACACACAUAGCUAAAAAAAAUUAUCAUUAAAUUAACUCCAGCACUUUCCCAUAGCUAACGAUGACACUUCUGGUUGAUGCAGAAUCUCUCCAAACAGCUGGAGGUUGCUGUGUUCCCUGUUUCUUCAGGGAAAUUUGGAAUCCUUCUCCAAAUACCUCCUCAGAAAGCCCAUUGUGCUUGUCAUCUGUCAGAGCCCUGCCCUGGCACCAUCUGUUAAUAUUUGGAGAAGAACCAGAGGUGAGAGCUUGUUGUCAGAGUGCAGGAAGAAGCCUGUCAUUUUAGAAAGGGAGGAACUUAAGGGUGCAGGAUGGGAAAGGGGAGGAUAAAUUGUGCGAAUGAAGUGAGAAAACAUCUGCAGCUGUGUGAGUCGGCGCUGGAUUUGGAGGCAGAGGAAGAAAGCUUUGCUAACGAGAUCUGAAGCCUCGUUUCUGGCUGCCUCAGGCUGCAGCAGCUGAACGCAUUUCCCCUGGAGCCAGGAGCAGAGGGCACUGUCACUCUCUGAGCAGACUGACGGGAGAGCAGAUGCUGUGAGAGGAAGCUGUCUCAGCAGGCAACACCAUUCGGAGCUUGAAAGGGCAGAAAAAGAAUAUAACCCUUUGCACGUCUGGGGGGAGAAUCAAACACCACAGCAGGCUCUUUCUCAUCACAUCUGAGCUAAACCUGUGCUCACCAUCCAGGCUUUUCUCCAUUGAUGGGGUGCAGCACUGAACCAUGGCAUAAUCAGGGUGGGAAGGGAGCUCUGGGGGUCUCUGGUCCAGCCGCCCACUCUGAGCAGGAUGUCAGUCAGCUGCUCAGCACCCUGUCCCAUCCACAGUCUCACAGAAUGGAGAUUGCCCACCUCUGGGUCCAUGUGGAACUACUUGAUUCCCUUCACAGAGCAAAUAAUUUUCCUAGUAUCUAAUCAGAACUUUCCUCUUUGCUAUUUGCGUUUUGGUCUCUCAUUCCAUCACUCUGCACCUCUGAGUCUGUGCCCUCCUAUGAGGUAGUGAAGAAAACAAGGAAGUCUCCAUUUGUUUAGCCUUUCCCUGAAGCCUAAAACCCAGCUUCUCUCAUCCUCUUCUCCAAUAUCAGGUGUCUGAGCUCCUUCAAUCUUUUUGGUGGCCUUCACUGGACUUGAUCCAGCAUAUUAGUGUCUUUCCUGUGUUUGGGAAUAUGAAACCAGACACAGUUCCAGGCCCGAAGCAGAAAUCUCCCUAUUCUGGACACCUUUCUUAGCUAGUCUGGGCUCUGUUCUAUCAGAUCAAUAUGCCAAGAGACUGGGCUCAUGGUAAAAUAAUGUGUAAUUCAUAUGCUGGGACUUCAGGUUUCCUGAAAUUGUGAGACCUGAAAGCACUCUUUCUCCUUCCAGAGAAAGGGAUGGGAGCAAGAGAAUUCCAGCUUGGGACCUCCCAGCCCUGCAUCCUGCCUCCAACAUUUGGGCAACAGCUAGAGCAGAGCAAAGGGUGUGAGAUCAGGGCAUGCACACACAAUAUUCCUAUGCAGCUCAAACAUUUUUUGAACUGAAGGUAAUAUCUUCAUACUGCAUAAACUUCAGGAGAUUUUCUUUCCAGAGAUUUGUCCUGUGGAUUUUAUUAAUCCCUGUUGACAUUGAACAACCACAGCCAUGUGUGGGAGUAGCCUAAAGCCAAGGGAAGGGAGGAAGCAUCUCCCUUUCACUUAUUUUGUCUCCUGCUAAUUUGACUUGCUCUCCUUGUCCCUCUCAGCUGUGUAUACCUCAGUCAUGGGCACCUCAGUAGUUUCUUCCAGGCUGAAGAAUCCCAGUCCACACAGUUACCCUUCACGCAGCAGCCAGUCUGGACAUUGGCUUGUCCUUGCUGUCCUUCUACAAGUUCUGUGUUUCGAUUUUUUGGGGGUCUGCUGUUUUCUGUUUGAGAUGGAUUAUUUCUAAGUGACAUUAGCUCACACAGAGCCCACUGCUACCUAUUGAAAGUGAGUAUGGUGGUUUCCCCCAUGGAUCAUGUCAUAUUUGUUUUAUGUAAUUUCAUCUGCUAUUUCACUGCCUGGUGAAGGUGAGGCCUUCAGUCAGCCCUCUGGGACCACUCUUCUCCAUAUUUCCUAGGACCACAUCCAAACAUCUUAGUAGGUCCAUCUCCUUUGCAUUUGCCAAGAUCAAGCAUCCUCUCUGGUAUCACAAAUCCUGCAAUUUACAUGCCUGAUAAUGUGAUCACCUGCCACUGCUGUGUGUCUGUGCAUACCCCAAUGCCAGUCUCUCUCCAAAGUCAUGUUCCAAAUCACAGUAUUUCCUGUGGAAUCAGGAGUGUCCUGCACCAGCUGACCUAUCACCUGCCCUGCUGCUUGCUGCCACAUCUUCUGCCUCUCCUGCCCAGGGAGGAUCAGCUCUAAUCAUGUUGUAUUUCCUGGAAUGGAGGAAUUUACCAUCAUUUCCCUGCUUCUGCCAUAAUCUCUGCUGUGCAGCCAUGGACAGGCAGCUAAUCCACAGUGAGUCUGCUCCAUCCAUCAUUCCAGCAUUGGAGGGAUACGGCGCCACCAGUGACCAGUGACGUGUCUGUAGCGCAUGAUGCAAGAACUUGACAGAGAAAAGUAGAACAAGAAAAUAAUUCCAUUUUAUUACCCACUAUAUUUUCAUUUGGUAUUAAAUCACUACUAAUAAUUGUUUGUGACAUGUGACAAUUUGACAAUUGUGACACCUUUUAUAUCUCUCUUUUGUGCUGUCUAUUUUUAUGGAGAUUGAAUAAAUACCAUCACAGAUUUUCUCUUUGACA
rnacentral:lncRNA from 1 species